GUUAAAAAGCUCGUAGUCGGAUUUCAGUAUUAGGCCCUUCUUCCAAUACGGUUGCUAGUGGUCUUUACUUCCUUAACAGAAUCUUUCAUCUCAUUAAUUUGGGGUGUUUGGGGCCUGUUUCUUUUACUUUGAGAAAAUUAGAGUGUUCAAAGCGGGUUUUCGCCUGGAUAUUACUCUUGGAAUAAUAAUAUAGGACUUUGGUUCUUUUUUGUUGGUGACUUAGAACCGAAGUAAUGAUUGAUAGGGACAGUUGGGGUCAUUCGUACUAUGAAGCGAGAGGUGAAAUUCAUGGACCUUUGUAUGACGAACUACUGCGAAAGCAUUUGACUAGGAUGUUCCCGUUGAUCAAGAACGAAAGUUGGGGGAUCGAAGACGAUCAGAUACCGUCGUAGUCUCAACCAUAAACUAUGCCAGCUAGGGAUUGGAGGAAGAUCAUUUUACGUCUCCUUCAGCACCUUAUGAGAAAUCAAAGCAUUUGGGUUCCGGGGGGAGUAUGGUCGCAAGGCUGAAACUUAAAGGAAUUGACGGGAGGGCACCACCAGGAGUGGAGCCUGCGGCUUAAUUUGAUUCAACACGGGAAAACUUACCAGGUCCGGACAUGGGAAGGAUUGACAGAUUGAAAGCUCUUUCU
rnacentral:rRNA from 1 species